CAAAGGACACCAUCCCAACCCGUGAAGCACGGGGUUAUCACUCCCUAACCAUAGAAAGCCUUCUUAUUCUCUAUUUUGGUUAGGUCGGGGUGUGACUAGGGUGGGUAAUCUAGGUGGUUUAUUUCUAUGUUGGCCUGGUAUGGUUCCCAAUCAGAGGCAGCUGUUUAGCGUUGUCUCUGAUUGGGGAUAAUAUUUAGGCAGCCAUUUCCCCACUGUGUUUUGUGGGAUCUUGUUUUUGUGUAGUUGCCUGUGAGCACUUAAUUUACUUCACGUUUCGUUUGUUCUUUAUUGUUUUUGUGUGUUUCACUCAAUAAACAUGUGUAACCCAUAUCACGCUGCGCUUUGGUCUGAAUUUUCUUACGACGAUCGUGACAGGGGUUGGCAGCAUCAUGUUGUGUGGGUGCUUUGCUGCAAGAGGGACUGGUGCACUUCACAAAAUAGUUGGCAUCAUGAGGGAGGACAAUUAUGUGGAUAUAUUGAAGCAACAUCUCAAGACAUCAGUCAGGAAGGUAAAGCUUCAUUGCAAAUUGGUCUUCCAAAUGGACAAUGACCACAAGCAUACUUCCAAAGUAGUGGCAAAAUGGCUUAAGGACAACAAAGUCAAGGUAUUUGAGUGGCCAACAAAAAACAAUUUAAAUGCAAUGCUACCAAAUACUAAUUGAGUAUGUAAACUUCAGACUCACUGGGAAUGUGAUAAGAAAUAAAAGCUGAAAUAAAUCGCUCUACUAUUAUUCUGACAUUUCAGAUUCUUGAAAUAAAGUGGUGAUCCUAACUGACCUAAGACAGGGAAUGUUUCCUAGGAUUAAAUGUCAGGAAUUGUAAAAAAACUGAGUUUAAAUGUAUUUGGCUAAGGUGUAUGUAAACUUCCGACUUCAACUGUAUAUACAGAGAAAAAGAGUCGGCCCGAGAAUUGAACCCUGUGGCACCCCCAUAGAGACUGCCAGUAAAGGAUGUCUGGAAUGCAGUAAAUGGAAUGGUAUCAAACACGUGUGUGGUUGAUAUCAUUCCAUUGACUCCAAUCCAGACAGGAAGGGUGGGAGAACAAUGUGAAGGUAAUUAUCUUUGCACUCAACAGCAGCAUCCAAGCCUCCACUGAGUAUUGAUGGGAGCCGCAGCUGUUUACUGAGGUAAACAAUGCAAUUGUAUAUACAAUUAUCGCAUAUAUUGUAGUCUUUCAAAUUUGUGAUUGACUUAGUGUUGUUAUUUGUCUAUUGCUAUUUUUGAAUAAAGUACUUUCAGAUCACUGAAACCCCACCUGAUGUGGUGGAAGUUGUCGAACCGGAUCGGAACGCUUUUGAUGACCACCUUCAGGCACGGACUGAGAAGGAUGUGGAGGUUUUUGACUAGGUGAGACUGAACAUUGUCAAGGUGCAGGAGAAAGAGAAGGAGAGCUACCGGAGCAGAAUCAAGAAGGGGACCAAGUACUACGACCUUCCGGGCGAAUUACUUGGUUUGGAAGAAGGACGAAAGGAAGGCGAGACCUGGGAAACGUCGCUGCUCUGGGGUCACGAUUUGUUAAGGGUUACCUCGGUGGAAACAAACAAUCUUCUCCAGUUUUAGCAGUUGAACGGUCGACCAAUGACGCCCUACACUUCAGUGAAGCCCAAUAGACAAAGUAUGUUAACCUGUUCCCUUUAACUCUGCUCCUGUUCUCCAGGACCUAGGGGUUCUGCCCAUCACCCAGACGUGGAUCGACCUGAUGUCCUCCAUUACCAAUCACCCUUCAACUUUUCAUUACAUCAUCUACAGCUACUGUUAUUGUCAUGAUGCUAUUAUCUGCUAAGAUAGUUUUCUUGCUCUAUUAUACUGGGCACAUAAUAUGUGAGAUACACAGAUUAACUAAAAGCACUAGCACUGCAAACACUCAGAACAAAGAAAGCAGCAGUGCCUGGACUUUGCAGUCUCCCUCUUUAAGUCCCCCUUUCGAGACUGACAGGCAGAACCUCCCACCCACACAGCAACCACCUCAAUAUUCCACACACCAGAAUGAGGUAUUUUAAUCUAUGAUUGCCAUGUGAGUGUACAUUUUUUUUAAAAUAUAU